CCCUGCCUUGGGAAGGCAGCUCAGCCCUUCGGCCAGGGGACCAAGCUCUCCCUCAUAAUUACUCGUGGAUUUAAUGGCAGCUGCUCUGAAUUUCUCACUGCUUUGAGUAAGCCACAAAACUUCCAGGACUAGAUAAGCUGGUGACCAGCAGAACCAGGUGAAUCACGGCUCCGGAAAAAAGCACUCGCGCAAGGGGCAGCUCCAGUUUCAUGCUGCCCAUGGAGCUCCUGCUCUUCCUUGCCACAGACUGACAGAGUCUUCAAAAACUUCCUGUUAACAGCUCUGAAAAUCUGGAUAAAGUUGUCAUAAUGUAGAUAUUUCCAUGAAAAUGACAGGUGGAGAAGGAAAAGUCUCCCUGGAUUGCAAACCUGUAAGAGGAGCAGCCCUGUGAUCCUCAGAGGAAACACCCAAGAGGCUUCCAGCACUCAGAGCCACGUGGAUGCUUUGCUGAGAAAGGACACUGGGCAGAAACACAGCUUAGAGUGUUCAUGGCAAUAUAAAGUGAAACUUCAGCUGUGCUGCCCUCUUCUGUGUACCAGAUAAGAAAAAAGGGACAAGGAAUGUUCAAUGUAUCUUUUUUUACACAAAUGCCUUCAUUUCUGUGUCCAAACGUGCCUUUGCAAGGUUGAGAAUCCCUGCACGUGACAUGAGGCUCCUGGUGGGACCUGUGGGGACAGAAGCAAACAGAGCUGCCCAUCUGCUUUGGGUGACAAAGCUUGUUCUUGUCCCCCUUGAGGGGAAACUCCAUUUUCCUUACAUUUCAAGAAAUGAAACCUUGAAACAGGGACAAAAAAUUACAGGCACAGGGGAGACUUAGGAAUCUGAAUUGGAAAAGCUUUGUACUUCUUUAUAAGCCAGUCCAGAAUUUAUGGUGUCUUCCUGUGGUGGGUGGAAUCCACCCAUGGAAAGUGUGUGGGAAUUUGGAUGUGAGAGAUAUUAUCAUUUCUUCCAGGAAAAACUCGGAAUUUGUCCAGUUGGAAUGUGCUGAGUUUGGCAAAUUCCAUAUUUGCAUCACAGCAGUAAAAGGAAUCUCUGCUACUUUUGAAUGUCACAUUUCCACAUUUCCUGCUUUGCCUCUGCUGCUGUACAAGACAUUCUGGUAAAAACCUUUACAACUCUAAUUGUAGAGUUACACUAGAAUGAAAAGAAUUGUCUUUUUUAUUUUUUUGCAUUUUAAAUUUUCAAAUUUCUUUCUGAUUCUAUUAAUGAGAAAUUAUGUAAUUAAUAUAAUCAUAAUAUGCUUCAUUAUCCACCAUUCUCUCAAAAAAUAUAAAAUGGUCAGUGUUUAGGCUCAUGAUUAAAUGCAGAGAGCAAGCACGAGCCUAGACUGAGGUAAGAGAAUGGUGUGAAGUGUGUUAUAUAAAAGGGCUUAUGGGCAGUAGACUUGAAAAAUAUCAUCGUGUGAAAGCAAAUGCAGAUCUUCAUUUGAAAGCCAGCUCUAACUGGAUAAAUCUGAACCAAAACUCCUGUGCUAGAAGUCUGUCAGUCCUAGAGACAAAACUGCAAAAUCAUGGUGGGGAUCAAGGACAUCCUGCACCCAAACCAGUUGCAGUGAAGCAGGUAAGAAAUCACUUUAUUUCCCUGUUCCUCUUCCCAGAGGGAAACCCCCACUUUUAGGGAAUAUCAGUGUAGUAAAUAGGUGUGAUUUGUGCUGACAAAAUUGAAACAAUAAUCAAUACUGAUAUAGCAAUUAAUAUUUGGAAAUAAUAAAACAGUUAAAGGUGUAAUGCCAAGAAAGAAAGGUUCUGAACAUCUCCUGCAGAUGUUCAGAACAGGAAGAAGCAAGAGAUAACUAUGACUAAAUUUAGUUGGAAGAGAGGAGAAUUUGGUUGGACACCAGGAAAAUGCUAAUUAUAUGAGAUUUAUUGCUUUAAUGUUAGAACACAAUAUUGGCUUAUACUGUAGCAGUUUGGUGUGCAUUUGUAAUCCAAAAGGUGAAUCAAAGGACACUGAGGAAGAGGAGAGGUCUUCAUCAGAGACGACCCCAAAGAGUGGCAUGG